rnacentral:rRNA from 1 species
GACGAACGCUGGCGGCGUGCUUAACACAUGCAAGUCGAGCGGUAAGGCCCUUUCGGGGGUACACGAGCGGCGAACGGGUGAGUAACACGUGGGUGACCUGCCCUCAGCUCUGGGAUAAGCCUGGGAAACUGGGUCUAAUACUGGAUAUGACUCCACGGUGCAUGUCGUGGGGUGGAAAGCCUUGUGCGGCUGAGGAUGGGCCCGCGGCCUAUCAGCUUGUUGGUGGGGGAUGGCCUACCAAGGCGACGACGGGUAGCCGGCCUGAGAGGGCGACGGCACACUGGGACUGAGACACGGCCCAGACUCUACGGGAGGCAGCAGUGGGGAAUCUUGCGCAAU